CCUACGGGAGGCUGCAGUGGGGAAUCUUGCACAAUGGGGGAAACCCUGAUGCAGCGACGCCGCGUGAGCGAUGAAGUCUUUCGGUAUGUAAAGCUCUGUCAGCGGGGAAGAAAAUUACGGUACCUGACUAAGAAGCCACGGCUAACUACGUUCCAGCAGCCGCGGUAAUACGGAGGGGGCAAGCGUUUGCCGGAUUUACUGGGUGUAAAGGGAGCGUAGACGGUCCUGCAAGCCUGAUGUGAAAGCCCGGGGCUCAACCCCGGGACUGCAUUUGGAACUGGCAGGCUAGAGUGUGGGAGAGGUAGGCGGAAUUCCUGGUGUAGCGGUGAAAUGCGUAGAUAUCAGGAGGAACACCAGUGGCGAAGGCGGCUUGCUGGACCAUGAUUGACGCUGAGGCACGAAAGCGUGGGGAGCAAACAGGAUUAGAUACCCCUGUAGUC
rnacentral:rRNA from 1 species